UACGGAGGGUCCAAGCGUUAUCCGGAUUCAUUGGGUUUAAAGGGUCCGUAGGCGGGAAAAUAAGUCAGUGGUGAAAUCCUGCAGCUCAACUGUAGAACUGCCAUUGAAACUGUUUUUCUUGAAUUUAGAUGAAGUGGGCGGAAUGUGUCAUGUAGCGGUGAAAUGCAUAGAUAUGACACAGAACACCGAUUGCGAAGGCAGCUCACUAAACUAAUAUUGACGCUGAGGGACGAAAGUGUGGGGAGCGAAC
rnacentral:rRNA from 1 species